rnacentral:rRNA from 1 species
UACGGGGGGGCAAGCGUUGUUCGGAAUUACUGGGCGUAAAGGGCUCGUAGGCGGCCAACUAAGUCCGACGUGAAAUCCCCAGGCUUAACCUGGGAACUGCGUCGGAUACUGGAUGGCUUGAAUCCGGGAGAGGGAUGCGGAAUUCCAGGUGUAGCGGUGAAAUGCGCAGAUAAUCAGGAGGAACACCGAUGGCGAAGGCAGCUCGCUGGGACGGUACUGACGCUGAGGCGCGAAAGCG